GCUGGGACUCCCUUCUCUCCUCUCCAGACAAAGGAGAUGAGCACAAUGUCAAGUCAGGUAAGUUCACACCAGAAAUACAUCACGGAUAUCCUAAGCUAUUCCCUGUAAGUAAAUCACACUGUUUACAGUGGGUGUUUUACAGCGACAAACACAGAUGGUCCAUGAGCACAGAAAUUCCUCGUACAAGAUUAUGUACUAUGUGUAAAGUACAACACACUAUGUCCACAACGUUUGGUGAGACGCAGCCGUGGGAAGGCUGUCCAAGGAAGCGUAAAUAUAAGCAGGUACAGUGCACACACUCGUUCUAAUGUGUCUGGGAAGUGAGUCUAUGCCUGUGGAUUGUCACAGAAAGCAGAGCUGCUAAAACUGACCACUGAGCCUAGAGCAGCUCAGGCAAGCCUGGGCCUCUUCAUAAAGGCUCUAAAAUGUCCACUGGAAGAGUGAUGGAGAACUCGCACUCCACACCCCUUCAGCAGCUGACAUUUUCUACACUGACCAUUUAGAGUUUUUAACUGAAGUAGGCGGUGGGCAGUGUGUUUACAGCAGAUGAGUUCAGGAGGCUGCAGAGCUGGACGCCUGCAGUCAGUGCCCUAGAGGCUGCCCUAGGGGCGAGGAACCACACGGGGUCCCUGCAAUGGGGGCUCAAGCUUUUAACCACUGAGCCUCUUAUGAUCAAUAAAUCAAUUAAGUCUAAUGAAAACUACUUGAUAAUUCUUUUUAAAAAUUAAAGUAGAAAUACAAUCUACAUUUGCAAAAGCAAGGAUUUUUUUCCCAAGUGAAAUGACUUCAGAGAUGGGGCUGUUAAUUUGAACAACCAAAAGUGAACCGCCGGGUGAAGCCUUUUUCUCUCACAUACUGAGUUAAAAGACUGAGAAAUUUAUCAGCAAAUGACCAUUAACUUGUCAACUGCCCAAGCAACAUUAACCAAACCCCUACCUCAAAUGUAUCAACAUGCAUCCAUUUUUAAGAUCACAGUAACAACUAAAUAGCACCUUUUAGUCCAUGGCGCUGCAGUCUGAAAUGCCAAGUCCUACUUCCAAUACAUAAUGGGAAGUGGUGUAGAAUACCAGUACUUUCUCUCUCUCUCUCUCUCUCUCUCUCUCUCUCUCUCUCUGUAGACCCCUACGAUGUCUCCUAAUUCUGAAGGGACUCAACAUAUCUGAAAGCAGCCUCCUUCCAUUACAUGGGACAAAGUGCUUCCCUCCUUACAGCAGACUACUGGGAUGAAGCACUCCAUCCCUCUGUGUCCCCAGACACAAAAGCCAGGGACUAAGCAUCAGACAGCACUUGCUUUAUUCAAUUGCAAGUGUUUGCUUCCUGGACUUAGCUUCUAUCAUAAUAAAGUGUCAUGAAGCUUUCUGAUGUGCUAACACACCAGUCACUGUUACACUUGAGCAAA
rnacentral:lncRNA from 1 species